rnacentral:lncRNA from 1 species
CUGACAGCCUUCUGUCUUUUUCCAAGAACACCCACUGUGUUCAUGAUUAGUUAACACCUGGCUAGGAUAACAUCUUGGGGCUUGUGACCACUUAGGGUGGUGACUCAGGAGUAGAGAAGGUAACAAGAGGUGUGGUUAACCACCUUCCUGCUGGCACCCAGGGCCACACCCACCUCACACAAACAAGGCUGCAGACAUAGAGAAAAAAGUACCUUUUUCUUAUUCUCUGAUGUGGAGAUGUCUGCGCAAGGCACUUGAAACUUCUGUAGCCCCUUGAAACUAUUAGAGGAGGUUUGGCCAACUCGGGGAGCAUAUAUGGAAACAGUCAGCAUCCUGGAUGACACCACCAACGGCGCCCCCAAAACCCUGG